UCUUGACUAGUAUAUCGGUUAGUACACGCGCUUGUCAUGGCUCGAUUACGUGAUCGCAUAAUCGCGCGAAAGCUGGGUUCGACUCCCAGGUCGAGAG